ACUGGAGUGGGUUGCCAUUUCCUUCUCUAGGGGAUCUUUCCAGCUCAGGGAUUGAAACCGUGCCUCCUACUUGGCAGGCAGACAGACUCUUUUUUUGGAAAUCCUGUUCUGUUUUUUAAUCUUUUAUCUCUUUGUUUCAGUUUUGCAGAUUUUUAUUAAGAUAUCCUCAAGCACAGAUUCUUUUCUCAGCUGUGUCCAAUCUACUAACAAGCCCAUCAAAGGCAUUCUUUAUUUCUGUUAGUGUAUUUUAUUUCUAGCAUUUCUUUUCAGUUCUUUCCUAGAAUUUCCAUCUCUCUGCUUAUAUAUUCUAUCUGUUAUUUCUAUCUACAUUAUCCUUAGAGCCUUAGCAGAUUUAUUGAGAUAUAGUUAACGUAUAACAUUGUGUAAGUUUAAUGUGUAUAAUGUGAUGAUUUGAUAUGUAUAUAUAUUGUGAAAUGAUUACCGUAAGUUAAUGUAUCCAUUUUCUCAAAUAACUCCCAUUUUUCAGUAGUGGUGGUGAAAACAUUUAAGAUGUACUCUUUAGCAACUUUAAAAAAUACAAUACAGUAUUAAUUAUAACCAUCAAUGCUCAACAUUAGAUCCUUAGAGUCUAUUCAUCUUACUGGAAGUUUGUUCUUUUGUUCAACGUAUUCUCUUUUCUCCCACCCGCCCAGCCUCUGGCACCUCCAAUCUACUCUCUGUUUCUGUGAGAUUGAGCCCUUAACACUUCAGCACAGUUGUUUGAAAUUCCAAGUCUGUUCAUUUCCACAUGUCAGCCAUAUCUGAAUCUGGUUUUGAUGCUUGCUUUGUUUCUUCAAAAUGUUUUUUUUCUUUCUGUUUAGUAUGUUUUGUAAUAUUUUUGAUGGAAAUGAUCUACUGGGUAAAAACUGUAAGUAGGCCCUUCCAGGGUAAUGCGGUGGUGAGGUGUGGGGGCAGUGGGAGCAUUUUAUAGCACUUGGAGGUCUCAGUCUUUGAGUGAGGCUUCUCAUUUUCCAACUCUUUCCCUUUCAAUGAGAUAGGAUGCCUGGAGGCAGCUGGGGUUGCAAAUUUCCUCCGCCAUUCCCCAGGUCAAUUAAGCUAAACCCCAGCUAUUUAGCUUUCAGUUAAAUGGUUUCUCCUGUGCACAGACCUUGUUAAGGAAUGCUCUGGGGGGUCCAUGCUAAGCCUCCAGCAGUUCAUCAGCUACAGUUCCAAUUUCCCUGUCUGAUUCCUGCAGAGCUUCUGCUCCUGUUUUCCCAGCACCAUUUCUGAAAGAGACUGCUGCUGCUAAGUCACUUCAGUCGUGUCCGACUCUGUGCGACCCCAUAGACGGCAGCCCACCAGGAUCCCCCGUCCCUGGGAUUCUCCAGGCAAGAACACUGGAGUGGGUUGCCAUUUCCUUCUCCAAUGCAUGAAAGUGAAAAGUGAAAGUGAAGUUGCUCAGUCGUGUCCGACCCUCAGCGACACCAUGGACUGCAGCUUUCCAGGCUCCUCCGUCCAUGGGAUUUUCCAGGCAAGAGUACUGGAGUGAAAGAGACUACUAUAAUAUUAUAAAUCUAUUAUAUUGCCUUUGCUCCUUUGUCAAGGACCAGUUGACUGUACUUACAUGGGUGUGUUUCUGAUUUUUCUAUUCCCUUGGCCUAUUUUUUUUUGCCAAUACCACACUUUUUUUUUUAUUACUGUAACUUCUUGAAAUGCAAGUAUAAUGGAUACUGGAGUUUUGACAUCUCUCUGGGAUUAUGAAUUAAGUUUUAAGAUGCAAGCCAUAUUGAUAGAGCAAAAAGAAGAUCUUAUGAAAGAUGCUUAAAUAUACAUUCUCUCAGUACUUCCUAAACUUCAUUCAUUGCCUACUAGCAAAAUUUUUGCACCAGAACUAUCAUGGUGCUAUUUUUCUAUUUUAAAAAAACAAAUAGAGCAAAACAAAAUUCAACAAUGUGUAUGGAAACUGGGUAUAUGAAAAUCUUCACUAAUGGCACACAUCAUGUUUAUUCUUCACAUCUGAAGUUAUUCUAAAUGUUUCAUUUUUUAAGGUUUGAGUUAUUCAUAGGCAUAUCCAAAUUCUAUGCCUGCAAUUUGUGCUAUCUAAACUAGAUUCCCAUAGGUCCACCCACUUUAGCUCCAACUAACAUAAUAAUAACUAGCAUGUUUUACAUGUAAAACUGGCACUAUAUAUAUAUAUACAUACAUAUAUAUAUAUAUACACACUAUGAAUAAAACAGUUGAAAAUAUUCUCACAAAGUUAUCUCAAGUGUACAUAAGGUAACUAAAAAUUUCAAUCUACCUAGGUCUGGGGGAUUUCUAGGACAUAGAACUUUUGAUGCUAAAAUUGGAAUAGUUUCAGACAAACCAGGAUUGUUGGUCACACUACAAGUCUAUAAUAUAUUUAGGGAAACAUGGCAUUAUCUCAUAUAAUAUUCUAUCAGCUACCUAGUUAGAUAUAAUUAUCCCUCUUCUAAAGAUGAGAAUCCAGGUACAAUGUGUAUGUGGUAAUAUGGCCACUAUUAAAUACUGAUAUCUAGGUCUGGCUGGCUUUAAAAUAGCUGAGAAUAAACCAAUUCUCACUUAAUAUCUUACAGGAAAAUCAAUUUUGACAAUGUGUGUUACUCAAACUCUAGCAAGAAACUGUGGGGCUGUCCAGUCCCACCUUAGAUUCCUCUUAAAGGGUUUAGAACACCACAGAGAGCCUUGCGUGAGUUCAGGGACAUAGUCUUCUGGCCCACCAUAAGGAUGCCACCCUGUCUUCCCCCUUGCCCUGUGUUCCUUGUCCGUGUUGUCACUGUCGGCCACCUCACUUCGGCCCCCUUCUACUCUAGCCCUAUUCAAGUGGCCCUCUCUCAACUGCUGAGUGUUUUCAUCUUGCAGAUAUUUUAGUAAGAUAUGAUUUUAUUGUAAAACCUUCCCUAGCUGGGUUCUUUGUAGGAAAAUUUGGGAAGAUCAGAGCUAGAUGGUAAAAUAAACAGAAAUAUUCAUCUUGCUAUGGACUAAAUAUUUGUGUUUCCCCAAAUUCAAGUGUUGAAACAUAAAACCCAAUGUAUUGCUUUUAGGAGAUGGGGCCUUUGGGAGGCACUUUAGGUCAUGAGGGUGGAGCCUUCAUAAAAGAGAUGAAUGCCUUUAUGAAAGAGACCCUCAGAGAAAGCCUUGCCCCUUAUGCCAUGUGAGGUUAUAGUGAGAAGGCACCAUCUAUAAACCAGUAAGUGGGCUCUCACCAGACAGUGAAUCUGCUUGAGACUUGAUCUUGAGCUUCCCAACUUCUAGAACUGGGAGAUGUAAAUUUCUGUUGUUAAUAAGCCACCUAGUCUAUGGUAUUUGUUACAGCAGCCCAAACAAACCAAGACAACUUAAAUAUUUUCAGAAUAUUUCUUCCUCUUCUCAUUUUUCUUGAACGAGUAUCCUUUCAACUUUCUUGCCUAAAAUGAAGUCUGCCUUUCCUUCCAAGAUCUUUUUUCAUAUGCACAGACAUAUGGCAGAUCUGUUUCACUGGCUUUCCAGAUUUUGCCAGAUAAUGUGCUUUAGAUAACUUGAAAUGCUGCUGGUCCAAAUUGAGAUGUACUGGAAAUGUAAAAUACACAUAGGAUUUUUAAGAUUUAGUGUGAAAAAAAGUAAACUAAAAUAUUUCAUAUUGAUUAUGUGAUGAAAUUAUAAUCUUUUGUAUACUUUAGAUUAAAUUAAAAUAUAUCAAGUUUUCAUUUGUUUUUAUUUUUUUUUUAAUGUGGCUACAAGAUGUGUAAAAUGAAAUGCUCACAUUUCUGUUGGAUAAUUAACUCUACAGUAUCAUGAUGGCCUCACAUAGCUGGGAUUAAAGAAUAUGUUUAUCAGGAGAAAGUGCAUUCAUUUCUGUUUUCUUUGUCCAUUCACUCCUCUAUCCUCUCAACCAUCCAUAUAUUCACUCAUUUAACAGCUGGGUUUUGUAGAUGUAACUGUGGGGAAAUAGACUUGGUCAUUCUCUUCAUGAAUCAUAUGGUUUAGUGAAGGAAAAAUUAAUUAGUUAAAUAUUUCACCAGUAAACACAUAAUUAGAACCUGUGUUAGGUUGGAAAGUUGUGUGGGCCAUGAAAGCCAUACAGAAAAGAAUUAGGCUUAGAAGGGGAGUAGGGCAUCUAAAACAGUCUGUACUUUCAAGGGAUUGAGCAUUUGGCCUCAUAGCUAAAGGAUGAGUUGGAGUGCAGUAGGCCAGAGUGUGGUAGGAAGAGAGAGAAGACCAUCCCAAAUGAUUCUUCCUCAAAUCUUGGAACAAGAUGACCCAUGGCACCAAAAGAGAACAAGAAGCAUUCCUUAGGAUGAGACUGG
ensembl:lncRNA